AUUGAACGCUGGCGGCAGGCCUAACACAUGCAAGUCGAACGAGUGGCGGACGGGUGAGUAAUGUCUGGGAAACUGCCUGAUGGAGGGGGAUAACUACUGGAAACGGUAGCUAAUACCGCAUACCAUCAGAUGUGCCCAGAUGGGUUUAGCUUGUUGGUGGGGUAACGGCUCACCAAGGCGACGAUCCCUAGCUGGUCUGAGGGGAUGACAGGCCACACGGGAACGGAGACACGGUCCGGACCCCUACGGAGGGAAGCGGGGGGAAAUUUUGCACAAUGGGCGCAAGCCUGAUGCAGCCAUGCCGGGUGUAUGAAGAAGGCCUUCGGGUUGUAAAGUACUUUCAGCGGGGAGGCGUUACCCGCAGAAGAAGCACCGGCUAACUCCGUGCCAGCGGCCGCGGUAUAC
rnacentral:rRNA from 1 species